ensembl:lincRNA
GCUGGCUGAAGUCGGUGUCAGUCACUAGAAAAUAACUGCACAGAAUUCUGGAGUUGGGAAGUUCACCAGGAGGAGUUGGCAUCGGGGCCAAUGACUUUGCAUGUGGCCUCUCUUCCGGGGGUAAGCACUGGCCAUGUUUGAGGAACCCACUAUACCAUGGCUUCUAGAUGAGGGGAUACCCUGAGCAGCCAGGUCCAGCCUGUCCAGCUAUGAAGAUGAGACCAGCCUGGGCUGUUAUAGAGUGGGAUCUAGGGCCUAGGAAUUUGAAAUCACACUUUCUUCAUUCUUUCUUCUGGAAACAGCUUUCCUCAUCACAAGAGAGAUAAGAUCCAAGAUGCAGGAUCAACUUGAUUGAAGGAAGUGAUAAGCUGUGUAAGUUGCUUGGUUCUAGCUAUAGACGAGUGAUUCCACACUUGCACGCUUAUGAGAAUCACCUAGGAAAGCUAUACGUCCGUGGAGAAAAAGAAACAAUAGGUGACUACAGUGGCCCACUUACCAGCAUCUGUCCCUGUCUCUCAUAGUCUGCCUUCCCUCCUUGUCUUAAUAUGUUUGUGCUGUUAUAACAGAAUACCCAAGACUGG